GGGAGGACGGAGAAAGCGAGAUGGCCUGCCAACCCACAACGGCUACUAAAGUCCUGGACCUAGGAGCCUCUGCUGCGGGCCCGGAGAACUGAUCCCCGGAGGCCAGUCGAAUCCCGGGGCUGGGCCAUGUCACUGCACAUGCGCUGAACGCCUGGGAAGCGUGCAGGGCAGGCGCUGCGGGGCACUGAGCUGUGCCCGCGGCUUACGCCUAGCUGCAAAGGAGCUUGGAAGCCCCACCUCAAGGAAGGAGAGAUCGAAAGCCCAGCUCACAUCCUGACCUGUUAACAUCAAGGCCCGCACCAGGUAUUGGCUCCUAGAUCUUUAAACCCACAGAGAUUCAAGUCAGGGACCCUGGAAGUUAGACUUCCGGGCUUCUCAGCUCUUGGGUUCCCAGUGGUUUUUAUUAUGUUUCUUUUCUUUUUCAUUGGGUUAACAGACAAUGGGGGCAUUUCCGGCAGUGGCAAU